rnacentral:rRNA from 1 species
CCUACGGGAGGCAGCAGUGCGGCAUAUUGGUCAAUGGACGCAAGUCUGAACCAGCCAAGUAGCGUGCAGGAAGACUGCCCUACGAGUUGUAAACUUCUUUUGUACAAGGGUAAACGCAGACACGCGUACCUGUCUGAAUGUAUUGUAUGAAUAAGGAUCGGCUAACUCCGUGCCAGCAGCCGCGGUAAUACGGAGGAUGCGAGCGUUAUCCGGAUUUAUUGGGUUUAAAGGGUGCGUAGAUGGGCUGAUAAGUAAGAUGUGAAAUCCUGAGGCUCAACAUCAGAAUUGCAUCUGAUACUGUUCGGCUUGAGAGUAGGUGCGGUAGGCGGAAGUCAUGGUGUAGCGGUGAAAUGCUUAGAGAUCAUACAGAACACCGAUUGCGAAGGCAGCUUACCAAGCUACUACUGACGUUGAGGCACGAAAGUGUGGGUAGCAAACAGGAUUAGAUACCCGAGUAGUC